rnacentral:rRNA from 1 species
AGUCGAGGGGUAUGGCAGCAAUGCCAGAGACCGGCGCACGGGUGCGUAACGCGUAUGCAAUCUGCCUUUCACAGAGGGAUAGCCCAGAGAAAUUUGGAUUAAUACCUCAUAGCAUAAUGAGUUGGCAUCAACACAUUAUUAAAGUCACAACGGUGAAAGAUGAGCAUGCGUCCCAUUAGCUAGUUGGUAAGGUAACGGCUUACCAAGGCGACGAUGGGUAGGGGUCCUGAGAGGGAGAUCCCCCACACUGGUACUGAGACACGGACCAGACUCCUACGGGAGGCAGCAGUGAGGAAUAUUGGUCAAUGGGCGCAAGCCUGAACCAGCCAUGCCGCGUGCAGGAUGACGGUCCUAUGGAUUGUAAACUGCUUUUGUACGGGAAGAAACAGCGAUUCGUGAAUCGCCUUGACGGUACCGUAAGAAUAAGGAUCGGCUAACUCCGUGCCAGCAGCCGCGGUAAUACGGAGGAUCCAAGCGUUAUCCGGAAUCAUUGGGUUUAAAGGGUCCGUAGGCGGUUUUGUAAGUCAGUGGUGAAAGCCCAUCGCUCAACGGUGGAACGGCCAUUGAUACUGCAAGACUUGAAUUAUUAGGAAGUAACUAGAAUAUGUAGUGUAGCGGUGAAAUGCUUAGAGACUACAUGGAAUACCAAUUGCGAAGGCAGGUUACUACUAAUGGAUUGACGCUGAUGGACGAAAGCGUGGGUAGCGAACAGGAUUAGAUACCCU